rnacentral:tRNA from 1 species
GUUUCCGUAGUGUAGCGGUUAUCACGUCUGCUUCACUCGUAGAAAGUCCCCGGUUCGAUCCCGGGCGGGAACA